UACGUAGGGCGCAAGCGUUGUCCGGAAUUAUUGGGCGUAAAGAGCUCGUAGGUGGCUUGUCGCGUCUGCCGUGAAAACCCGAGGCUCAACCUCGGGCGUGCGGUGGGUACGGGCAGGCUGGAGUGUGGUAGGGGAGACUGGAACUCCUGGUGUAGCGGUGAAAUGCGCAGAUAUCAGGAAGAACACCGAUGGCGAAGGCAGGUCUCUGGGCCAUUACUGACACUGAGGAGCGAAAGCAUGGGUAGCGAACAGGAUUAGAUA
rnacentral:rRNA from 1 species